rnacentral:rRNA from 1 species
GGUAGCCCGGAAGUCUAAGGGCUGCGGCGCGACUUACCAGCGUUUGUGUACGUACCUUUGAUGCUCUGGUGGCUCCUGGCGCCUUUCGGCUACCAAUUCCUGGCACCUAUGUUUUACGUCUGAUAUUCAUGUCUAUAAACGAAAACUUUGUCCAACGGAUCAUCAAGGUAUAGGACUUUAUGAAGAGGAUCUCAUUGGCUCUC